UGGGGAAUAUUGGACAAUGGGGGGAACCCUGAUCCAGCCAUGCCGCGUGUGUGAAGAAGGCCUUAUGGUUGUAAAGCACUUUAAGCGAGGAGGAGGGUACUGGUAUUAAUACUACCAGGUACUGGACGUUACUCGCAGAAUAAGCACCGGCUAACUCUGUGCCAGCAGCCGCGGUAAUACAGAGGGUGCGAGCGUUAAUCGGAUUUACUGGGCGUAAAGCGUGCGUAGGCGGCUAAUUGAGUCGGAUGUGAAAUCCCCGAGCUUAACUUGGGAAUUGCAUUCGAUACUGGUUAGCUAGAGUAGGGCAGAGGGUGGUGGAAUUUCCUGUGUAGCGGUGAAAUGCGUAGAUAUAGGAAGGACCACCAGUGGCGAAGGCGACCACCUGGGCUCAUACUGACACUGAGGUGCGAAAGCGUGGGGAGCAAACAGG
rnacentral:rRNA from 1 species